AAAUCUCAAUCCAGCUGCAGCAGCAACCUAAAUAUCCAGGGCAGGCAGGAGAACUGGGACUUUUAUUCUUACCCUACUGACAGGGGAGCGAGAGCCACAAGAUGAAAGCCAACUGUAUCCUGGGCUGCAUCCAAAGCAGGUCCAGCGAGCCAUCACCACCUUCUCCCUUGCACUCUUUCAAAGCUUCAUCACAUUAAAAACCCCCUGUAAAUUUCAUGUAUUUGCUGGCUCACUAGAGAAGAUGACUUGGAAGAAAUUGACUACAGCUAGAAUGGAGGACAUCUGAUCUCCUCAGUCUGAAGUUCUUCAGGCUCAGCAACUCCUUUUUCAACUAGAAGUGCCUGAACCAGUCACCUAUUAACUAAAAACAUCUGCAGGAACUCCCUACUUCCUAGUGCUUGAAACCGUGAAGACAAGACCACAAAAUUUAUGGGGACAGAGAGAGAACAAGAAGUGAAAAUUUGGUCAAGAGGCAUGAUUGGGAAAUGGCAGGCUCUGCUCUCUGCUUCCAGGCUGUUUUAUUAAAGAUUCCUGAAUAAAAAUGCAUGCAGCUCCUAGGGGUUCAUGAGCACAGCUAACAGGCAGCAGUCAGCAGAUGUGGCAUCUUGAGCAGCAGCCUCUGAUUCUCCUUUGGGAGAUUUUUUUUGGGGACAGUGGCACAGAAACCCUCUGAGUG
rnacentral:lncRNA from 13 species